rnacentral:tRNA from 1 species
AGGCUUGUAGCUCCAGGUGGUUGAAGCGCACCCUGAUAAGGGUGAGUCGGUGGUUCCAAUCCACUCAGGCCUACCA